AUGAGGAACGAAAACUACAGAUUAGAGGGGGGAAGCAAAUCGGAAUUGUUAAAUCACCACUCCGUGCAACCUCAGUUCCGAUGCUGUAACAACUGCGACGCCUCCGGCCAACACUCACGCUUUAUGGCCGCCGACUCCCUCUAUCAAGCAGGUCCUUUGUAUCCCUUUUGUGCUGUCCAUUUUCUGACAACAUCGAUUUGCUUUGUGUGA